CAAACUGGAGAUGGCGACCGGCGCACGGGUGAGUAACACGUAUCCAACCUGCCGAUAACUCGGGGAUAGCCUUUCGAAAGAAAGAUUAAUACCCGAUGGCAUAAUAGAACCGCAUGGUUUGAUUAUUAAAGAAUUUCGGUUAUCGAUGGGGAUGCGUUCCAUUAGGCAGGUUGGUGGGGUAACGGCCCACCAAACCUUCGAUGGAUAGGGGUUCUGAGAGGAAGGUCCCCCACAUUGGAACUGAGACACGGUCCAAACUCCUACGGGAGGCAGCAUG
rnacentral:rRNA from 1 species